GGGGUUAUAGUUUAAUGGUAAAAUAUAUGUUUUGCAAAUAUAUGUUGUCGGUUCGAUCCCGGUUAACUCCA
rnacentral:tRNA from 1 species